UCCUACGGGAGGCAGCAGUGGGGAAUAUUGGACAAUGGACCACAAGUCUGAUCCAGCAAUUCUGUGUGCACGAUGACGUUUUUCGGAAUGUAAAGUGCUUUCAGUCGGGAAGAAGUCAGUGACGGUACCGACAGAAGAAGCGACGGCUAAAUACGUGCCAGCAGCCGCGGUAAUACGUAUGUCGCAAGCGUUAUCCGGAUUUAUUGGGCGUAAAGCGCGUCUAGGCGGCAAGGAAAGUCUGAUGUGAAAAUGCGGAGCUCAACUCCGUAUGGCGUUGGAAACUGCCUUACUAGAGUACUGGAGAGGUAGGCGGAACUACAAGUGUAGAGGUGAAAUUCGUAGAUAUUUGUAGGAAUGCCGAUGGGGAAGCCAGCCUACUGGACAGAUACUGACGCUAAAGCGCGAAAGCGUGGGUAGCAAACAGGAUUAGAUACCCGGUAGUCC
rnacentral:rRNA from 1 species